UGCCCCUGGAUCCUUAGGGAGCAUUCCUAUGAGUGCUGACACCCUCCACGUGGCAGAGAAAAGGGAGAGAGAGCUCGGGGAGGUCUUUCCUAGAAUGAGGCUGUCAGGAGCCACUCGGGAGAUCCAAGGUGGCGAGUCCCACUUGUGUGGGAGCCCUCCUGACAGGUCCCCUCCUCACAGAGGGGGAGGUAUGUUCACACAAGAACAGUUCGGAGUCAUAAGUUUUGCUCAGGUACCCAGACAGUCUAGCCCAGGACCACAGGUACUCAGGAGAGUCGAGGCCUAACCUGGACCUAGCAGCCACUAUGAGAAAAACCUUAGCUGGCUGAGCUAUCUUGUUAGUCCCUAUCUCCCUUGUUCUCAAUAGACUACCCCUCCCCAGGGUCUUUCAUGCCUAGCCUCACCCCUCAAAUAUUUGACAGAGCAUGGGAAAUUCCAGCAGGAUGUUUCCUUUGAGUGGUGGCUGGAGCUGGGGCGUGAGGUGACACUUAUGGUCACAGGUGUCUGACUCGAAAGCCCUGGUACCCUUCCCUGUGCGGUUUAUCCGGGUGCCCUAGGGAUGAAAAGUCCAGCAGUUGGGAUUGGAGAAGGGGUGUGUUUUCUUCUUUGGGGAAGAUGGAGUAGGAAGAUGGAAGAGUUUGCAGUAUGGAGUGGAGGCAGGAGGUUGUCUGGAAAGGCGAGGUCAGAGGCAUCAGAAACCUAGCAGAAAGAAGGGGACGGAGGUAGGGAAGAAGGUGCAGGAGGCCUGGGAUGGUGAGCUGUCACCUGUGGGAAAUCUCCUGGGGUUAGGCUCAGGGACACCCAGAGGUCUGCCUCUCCAAGCUUGCUUUCUUGGACUGACUGGAUGGUAGAAAGGGUCCUCUUUUGUCCUUCUCUGUGCUCUGCCUUGAGUGCCUCAGGGACAUGGAUCUGUGAACUACAGGACCCGAGGGGCCUCUGCCAGCCCCGACCAUUCUUGGUUUCGCAAUGUGCAUGGCCUCCCUGGAGCCUGCCCCUUUCUAGACCUGGAAAGAUCCGAGGCAACUUCCGUCCUGAAAAGCAGUGCUUAUGAAAAAUACUUUUGGUGAGAUAGUUCAGUCAGUAAACGCGCUGCAAGCCGGACAACCUGAGUUGGAUCCUCGGGAGACCUCUGACUGCCACAUUCCCUUACAAAAACAACAACAACAGCAGCAGCAGCAACAACAACAACAACACCCAAAAAACAAAGAGCAAAGAUGAACUAAAGGGCGAGACACAGAAUUUGUAAGCGGAAUAAUCACUUAUGUGUUGCAGCAAACAAACACACAAAACAGCACAGGCAUAGGAAGACCAGUGGAAGAGAAGAUACAGGCCCAGAAUCUUCCCCUAGCAGGGACAAUCCUCAGGAACUUGUACUCAUAAAGGGGCUCAGUCAGUAUGGAACGGGAAUGGGAGAAGGACCCAUUCAACUGUGAGGAAACUGAGGCACGGUGAGGUGAAGUGACUUGACACAGUCGCAAAGACAAAGACCAGAGCAAGGGUUGUGUUGUCCCACUUUUGAGAUCUUGGGUCACUUGGCCUGGAGGAAACAGUUCUAUCCUUGACGAUGGCCACCACAACAAUGGGUAUGCUAUAAACUCAUGGAUGGCAGAUUUGGAGCUCAAGAAAAGACUUGAUGCUCUUGAUGAGGACAUGGCAUAACCCAGACCUGAUGGAUAGCUUCAAGAUGACCAUGGUACUGGCCUAUGGAAAACAACCUGGAAUUGUGCUAUGAAGUUGAACAUGUGCACAGCCUCUUUCCCAGCAACCCAACUCCUGAUGCAGAACAGAAAAACUCCUGGGCGUGUGUUCUGGGAGAACAGAAACCAAUGUUCCCAGAAGCCCUGUUUUUAAGAGCAAAAGCCCUGGAAAUAUCUCUGAUGUCACUCAUUUAAAAGAUAAAGGGUGAGUAGGCUGUGGUUUAGUUCAAAUGGUGAGAUGCUACUCGGUAUGGAGGACAGCCUGAUGCCCUACCACAGAUGAACUGAAGAAAUGACACCCACCGAGAAAAGCUGACUACAGA